AUUGAACGCUGGCGGCAUGCUUUACACAUGCAAGUCGAACGGGGGUGGGGGCAACUCCACUUCAGUGGCGAACGGGUGAGUAAUGCAUCGGAACGUGUCCCGUAGUGGGGGAUAACGCCG
rnacentral:rRNA from 1 species